rnacentral:misc_RNA from 1 species
UUUUUUUUUUCGCAGCUUCUUGUUUAAAUUGUCAUAAAUUAAAAAAAUAAAUAAAUAUAAAUACAUUUAGGUUUCUCCAUUAAACAAAUAAAGUAUCUCUCGCUCCUCUUUAUAUAGCAGACUUCGUCUCUUUCGUCUUUCGUCUCCUUCUGUUUGUGAUCCAUAUCUUGACCUCACCUUGAAAGCCCUAAAGUAUCAUCUCUCUCUGUUGGUGAAUUAAUCUGAAUCAUAAUCAUGGAUGAAGAGUACGAUGUGAUAGUGUUGGGAACUGGUCUCAAAGAAUGCAUCCUCAGUGGUCUUCUUUCUGUUGAUGGGCUCAAGGUUCUGCACAUGGAUAGAAAUGACUAUUAUGGAGGAGAGUCUGCAUCACUUAACCUUAUUCAGCUGUGGAAGAGGUUCAGGGGAAAUGAUAAGCCUCCAGCACAUUUGGGUUCAAGUAGGGAUUAUAAUGUGGACAUGAUCCCUAAGUUUAUGAUGGCCAAUGGCAAUCUUGUACGCGUCCUCAUUCACACAGAUGUUACCAAAUAUUUGUACUUUAAAGCAGUGGAUGGCAGUUUUGUCUACAACAAAGGAAAGGUUCACAAGGUGCCAGCAACUGACAUUGAGGCACUUAAAUCUCCUCUGAUGGGUAUUUUUGAGAAGCGCCGUGCUCGCAAGUUUUUCAUAUACGUCCAGGAUUAUAAUGAAAAUGAUCCCAAAACACAUGAGGGAAUGGACUUGACUAGGGUGACAACCAGAGAACUGAUUGCAAAAUAUGGUCUUGAUGACAACACAGUGGACUUCAUUGGUCAUUCAUUAGCGCUUCAUAGAGAUGAUCAGUACCUAGAUGAACCAGCACUGGAUACUGUGAUGAGAAUGAAGCUUUAUGCGGAAUCUCUUGCCCGUUUUCAAGGAGGAUCGCCAUAUAUUUAUCCUUUGUAUGGAUUAGGAGAGCUCCCACAGGUCAAUCUCACUCCCUUCUCCUAUCUUUAGCCCUAGAUGAAAUGUGGAAAAAAGAACUAGGCUUCAUUAAAAUGGUAGGAUUUGUUGAUGUCACUUUAUUUUCUUGUGGAUUUGUUUCUCUACCAGGCAUUUGCACGACUUAGUGCUGUUUAUGGUGGCACAUAUAUGUUGAAUAAACCUGAGUGCAAGGUAGAGUUCAAUGAGGAAGGCAAAGUUGUUGGUGUCACAUCAGAAGGGGAAACUGCUAGGUGCAAAAAAGUUGUUUGUGAUCCUUCUUACUUGCCCAACAAGGUUAGGAAGGUUGGUAGGGUUGCCAGAGCAAUUGCCAUCAUGAGCCACCCAAUUCCAAACACCAAUGAUUCUCAUUCAGUUCAGGUUAUCUUGCCUCAAAAGCAGUUGGGUCGCAGAUCAGACAUGUACCUUUUCUGUUGUUCGUAUACUCACAAUGUUGCUCCAAAGGGAAAAUAUAUUGCGUUUGUUUCAUCAGAGGCAGAAACUGAUCAUCCUGAGGUUGAAUUGAAGCCAGGAAUUGACCUUCUAGGUCCUGUUGAUGAGAUAUUCUUUGAAAUUUAUGACAGAUAUGAACCAGUGAAUGAGCCCUCUUUGGACAAUUGCUUUAUAUCAACGAGUUAUGAUGCCACAACUCACUUCGAGUCCACUGUCACAGAUGUUCUCAACAUGUACACCUUGAUCACUGGAAAGGUAAGAACCUACAUUUUCCUAUGUCAAUUUCUUGUUCAAGUCCACUUAUUAAGGUCAAAAUUCUGGUUAUAGAAAAUAUCAUUCAUUUACUUGGAGUUCUUAAGUCUGGUGUUGAUGCUGUUAUUUACUCGUAACAUUUAUUAGUUAUGAACACUAGAACAUCACUUCACAGAAGUAACCAAGUGAACUGUAUUAGCUCCCCCUUUUUCGGAAUUUAUUAUGUUUUGUUAGUAUCCUAUGACUUGCAUAUUCUAAGUUUUGUUGAACCCGAUUUGGUGAGGUAUUUUACUAUUUUGUUAAUAUGGUAUUUCUGGACUUGUUCCAUCUGGCUUAAUUUUUUUACUAAUCAUUGAGUGUGUUGGGAGAAUCACUUGAUUACAGUUUGUUGGUUGAAAUAUCUAAUUAAAGCUUGUGCUUGAGCCUUUGUUUCUCAAACUGUUAAAUUGGCAGUUUGAAUUUGCAGGUCUUAGGUUUGAACGUGGCUUGACAUUCUAUAUAAACUUUGGAUGGAAAAUAAGGGGGGGAAAAACUUUACAUGCUUGUUCCUUUUUUUUUUUUUGGAGCAAUGCAUGUUUUUCUAUUGUUUUAAAAUUAUUAUUAGGGUUCAUCAAAUUUAGAAUUGGUGGCAAUUGUAGCCAAAGUUGAGUUCAGAAGGCACACACCUAGAGAGAGAACUUGGUCCCUAUGCUAUAAAUUUCAUGAUCCUUGUGGAUAAUUUUAAAAGAAGUGGCCACAAUUGAAGAAGCACGUAGAAUUGGGAUUUUCUUUUUAGUCAUUUACCCUUUUAUACUAUGUUCUGUUUAAUUAUAACUGGCAUUAUUUUGUCGAAGCACUUGAUCAUUUGCUUCGACAAAUAGUCCCUUGAAAUUGAAAGAAAUAAAGAAAACAGCAUUAGUAAUUGUUCAAGUCAUUCGCAUGUUUUCAGUUGUUUCUAUCAACAAUUCUAAAUUUAUAUUAAAAAUUGAUUCUGAUUUUGGUAUUCAGGUUCUUGACCUGAGUGUGGAUUUGAGUGCUGCCAGUGCUGCAGAAUGAGGAAGCUGCUUUUACAUAAACUGAUGCUUAGCCUUGUUCUAAGCUCCUUGAAGAGGUGGAAAAGGACUUGGUAUUGGUUUCCUAUAUAUGUUGUAAUAAAUUCAUGUCUAAAUGCACUUUAUUUGAAUAUGUAAGACUUGAAACUUUGAUCUGGCUGUGUUGUGGAAAUUUGCAAUUUCUGCAUUGUUGGUCACUUGUGGAGAGGGUAUAAUUUAUUUGUUCCCAAGUGCUAAAUUACAGAACUGAAACCUUUCUACAUUAAUGAAGCAUGGGCUGUUCUUUUUUAUUCCUUGGAGAUCUCAUAGUUUUGGAGAUA